UCCUCCUUAGCUCAGCUGGUUAGAGCACAAGACUGUUAAUCUUGGGGUCCUUGGUUCGAGCCCAAGAGGGGGAG
rfam:Bacteroidetes bacterium 37-13 scnpilot_p_inoc_scaffold_333, whole genome shotgun sequence.